AAUGGGCAUGUGAUGAAUCUUAUAGUAACAAAUGGGUAAUUUGCGUCUGAAUUCAUUUCAUUGAUGCUAUAUCACGUUGGAAACCUGAUGCCCUUG